GGACCAGGAUUCCCGCGGGUCCUGGCGGCUGCGAGCGCGAGGCGGCGCGGAUUCGCGGCUCGGUUCCGGCGCGACUGCUCACCGCGCCCGCCUCGCCUCCCGCGGCUGCCAGCGUGCACUGGGCGCUCCUCGGCGCGUCUGCCCGGCCCGUCUCGGCUUUCCUUCUCCUUCCUCUAGUCCCAGCGUCACAACUCCGCCGACCUCCUCUGCCCUGAGAGCGCGUCCGGUGCGGGCGGAGUCGGACGGACUCUGGCUUCACGCCUCGCGCGGGCACACCUUCUCCCGGGCACUGAGGCCCAGGUAUUAGGGGAGGCAGAGUCCUUCUGGAGUUUGACCCUUGGAUUCCAUCCAGAGCAGCCUCCAAAAUGACACCUUUGAAGGUGUGUAUCGAGCUGGGGGAUGUAAAGGGAGGAGAAGAAAGAAGAUGAAGAGAUACCAGCCAGCCUUAAGGAGUGGACAUCCUGCCUGGUGAAACUGAACAAGACACCUACCGCAUGUGGAGUUUCGCUCUGUCGCCCAGGCUGGAGUGCAGUGGUGCCAUCUCGGCUCACCGCAACCUCCACCUCCAGGUUCAAGUGAUUCUCCUGCCUCAGCCUCUCAAGUAGCUGGGAUUACAGGAGCCCUCUCCCACCGCUCCUACACUGCUGGUAAAAGGCAGCCGCACUGCCUGCUGGAAGACCUGCC
rnacentral:lncRNA from 10 species